rnacentral:rRNA from 1 species
UACGUAGGGGGCGAGCGUUGUCCGGAUUUAUUGGGCGUAAAGAGCUCGUAGGCGGUUUGGUAAGUUGGAUGUGAAAUCUCCAGGCUCAACUUGGAGGGGUCAUUCGAUACUGCCAUGACUAGAGUUCGGUAGGGGAGUGUGGAAUUCCUGGUGGAGCGGUGAAAUGCGCAGAUAUCUGGAGGAACACCGGUGGCGAAGGCGGCAUCCUGGACCAACACUGACACUGAGGAGCGAAAGCCAGGGGAGCAAACGGG